rnacentral:rRNA from 2 species
UACGUAGGUGGCAAGCGUUGUCCGGAAUUAUUGGGCGUAAAGGGUGCGUAGGCGGUUUUUUAAGUGGGAUGUGAAAUACCUAGGCUUAACUUAGGAAUGGCAUUCCAAACUGGAAGACUAGAGUGCAGGAGAGGAAAGUGGAAUUCCCAGUGUAGCGGUGAAAUGCGUAGAGAUUGGGAGGAACACCAGUGGCGAAGGCGACUUUCUGGACUGUAACUGACGCUGAGGCACGAAAGCGUGGGGAGCAAACAGG